GAUGAGAUAUCAUUCAAAGAGGUGCAUAGACCCCAAAGAGCAACUCAAAGCUCUAGCCAAAAGUACAAGUCACAGUGACAGAAAAUCCUCCAAAAACAAAACAAAGUGAGAGGCCUUGCUUACCAAAUUAUCUGCCAUAUUAUUGGACGAUCAAGCAAGCCAAGAAAAGGAGCAACUCAAAGCUCUAGCCAAGUCAAUAGGUUAGGCACCAAAGAGAGAAUUUCACCAAACCCAACCUAUCACCAUCGUCGAGUCUCCCUCAACUAAAAUAUUGUUGGGUCCCACCAAACCUGCAGAGGUUACACCUUUAAAUUGAACAAGAAUCUUGGCCUCAAUAGCUAAUCCCUCUCCUGCAGACUUGGAAAAGACCCCUAACCUAUGGUCUCUGAAGACCCCUCUAGUCUCAAGAUGUCAUGGAUUAUAUACAAAGAGCAGUCAUCAAAAUUUAACUUGAGGUAACCUGCCAGAGGAGGGUUCCACUUUGCAUGAACCUCCAAGAGCCUCUUGCUAGAAGAACAAGCAGAUCACCUAUUCAAACAAAACGGACUCAUCGAAAUCUCCUAAAACAUUGGAGAAGAUGGGGUCCAUGACUAGGAAAGAAAGAAGACUGAAUCCUGUAGUGAUCUCAAGGCUUUGUAUCCAUCCUUGAAGGCCCUAACAUUUCUCUCCAGCCAAAUCACCUAA
rnacentral:lncRNA from 1 species